UACGAAGGGGGCUAGCGUUGCUCGGAAUCACUGGGCGUAAAGGGUGCGUAGGCGGCGCGGUAAGUCGGGUGUGAAAUCUCGGAGCUUAACUCCGAAACUGCAUUCGAUACUGCCGUGCUUGAGGACUGGAGAGGAGACUGGAAUUUACGGUGUAGCGGUGAAAUGCGUAGAUAUCGGUAAGGAAGACCAGUGGCGAAGGCGGGUCUCUGGACAGUUCCUGACGCUGAGGCACGAAGGCCAGGGGAGCAAACGGG
rnacentral:rRNA from 1 species